rnacentral:rRNA from 1 species
AGAACGAACGCUGGCGGCAGGCCUAACACAUGCAAGUCGAACGCCCCGCAAGGGGAGUGGCAGACGGGUGAGUAACGCGUGGGAACGUGCCCUUUGGUUCGGAAUAACUCAGGGAAACUUGAGCUAAUACCGGAUGUGUCCGUAAGGAGAAAGAUUUAUCGCCAAAGGAUCGGCCCGCGUUGGAUUAGCUAGUUGGCGGGGUAAAAGCCCACCAAGGCAACGAUCCAUAGCUGGUCUGAGAGGAUGAUCAGCCACACUGGGACUGAGACACGGCCCAGACUCCUACGGGAGGCAGCAGUGGGGAAUAUUGGACAAUGGCGAAAGCCUGAUCCAGCCAUGCCGCGUGAGUGAUGAAGGCCCUAGGGUUGUAAAGCUCUUUCGCCAGGGACGAUAAUGACGGUACCUGGAUAAGAAGCCCGGCUAACUUCGUGCCAGCCAGCCGC